GGCAACAUGGCCGAGUGGUUAAGGCGCUAGAUCCAGGUUCUAGUUCGAAAGAGCGUGGGUUCGAGUCCCACUGUUGUCA
rnacentral:tRNA from 1 species